UGCCUGAGCAAAUCCUUAUGAACGUUUCAGUCACAAAGGAAGCAAACUUACAAGGUGGAGGAGGAAGCUGCUGCUACGGCUGAGGUUUGGCGGCUGCUCAGGGAGCACAUUCCAUUCUUCCGAGCCUCCAGGAGUGCCUCGCUCCCUUCCGGAAGGACUGAACUGCUCCCUCCCUUAAAGCGUUUUGCGGAAUCACCCAUCAAAGCCCAUCAGCUGCCCCUGCAUCUCCAGGUGGUGUGCAUUUGGCUCAGAUGAGCCUGGAGCAUGGUGGAUCCCUGUGAGCUGACUUGAUCCAAACACUGAUCCCUGUUUUGAAGACCAUGAGCUGAUCUUGGGAGAGGAAAGUCGUGGGGAGAAGUCGGGGGACAACUUGAAUAACAAGGAUUUGAUUUAAGCAUCAGUGUUGGACAGGAAGAUGCUGGGGUCGAAUCAUCAGAAGAAGCCGGAUAACUCACCACAGUGAAUGUGCUGAGAGAGAAGAUGAUAUCUAGAGGAAACACUAGGCUCAUAGUGGAUGAGAAUGUGCUGUACCCACCUCUGCCUUCCCUUAAAUAUCCAGCACCGUGCCUCGCCAGCAGAAAGCCCUGGGAAACUUUUAUUGCCUUGAACAGCCAGUGUUGCAGCAAAGCCAGAAUAUUAUAGUUCUUUGGAAUGGGAGCCACAUAGAAAUAUGAAAAUGAAAUAUGCAGAGAGGACAAACUCAGACACUGGAUGACCUAGAAUGACGGUGAACAACAGGAAACCUCAGAAAGGCUGGUCAUCAAUGAGGAGCCGGAGCCUGAAAAAAGAGGAGGAAAACAAAACAGGAGUGAGAACAGCUGGGGAAAACGAUUCUUGACAGGUUUUUCACGCAGCCUCGGAAAGCAGGUGUAGAAAUGUUAAACCUGAUGUGGGAUUCGAGAAAAGGAAGAGAUGGACCACAGCAGGCUUGACGGGGAACUGGAGCUGAAACACGGCGCUCAUUCCCUACUACUUCUCACCCACGAACAAAAUUAAAAAAAGGUAGACCCCACCACUUCCCUGGUGGCGCUGUGGUUAAGAAUCCACCUGCCAGUGCAGGGGACUUGGGUUCAAGCCAGGGAAGAGCCCACAUGCCACAGAGUAACUAAGCCCGUGCGCCACAACUACUGAGCCCAUGCACCGCAGCUACUGAAGCCCGCGCACCUACAGCCCGUGCUCCGCAGCAAAAGAAGCCACCGCAAUGAGAAGCCUGCACACCGCAAGAAAGAGUAGCCCCCGCUCGCCGCAACUAGAGAAAGCCCACACGCAGCAAUGAAGACCCAAUGCAGCCAAAAGUAAAUAAAUAAAAUCUACAUUAAAAAAAAAAAGGUAGACUAAUCAGUAGCAAUCAUAACUCUUAAGAGAGGUGAUCUGCUUCUUUAAAAGAAAAAAAAUCUUCUUACCUUUCCCUGAUUGAAAUUGGAAUUCCUCCCAGAUAAUAUGUGCUGAAAUCAAAUAUAUCACCUUCAAUUUUAAUGCUUUGAGAAUCCACAUUUAUCCUCAUAAGUUUUUGGGUUUUUCCAAUUUUGAUCAGAA